rnacentral:rRNA from 1 species
UACGUAGGGUGCGAGCGUUGUCCGGAAUUAUUGGGCGUAAAGAGCUUGUAGGCGGUUUGUCGCGUCUGCUGUGAAAUCCGGGCUCAACCCCGGACUUGCAGUGGGUACGGGCAGACUAGAGUGUGGUAGGGGAGACUGGAAUUCCUGGUGUAGCGGUGAAAUGCGCAGAUAUCAGGAGGAACACCGGUGGCGAAGGCGGUUCUCUGGGCAUUACCUGACGCUGGAGGAGCGAA